rnacentral:tRNA from 1 species
GCCGCAGUGGCGGAAUUGGCAGACGCGCUAGGUUCAGGGCUUAGUGUCCUUACGGACUUGGGAGUUCGACUCUCCCCUGCGGCA